AACGAACGCUGGCGGCAGGCUUAACACAUGCAAGUCGAACGCAUCCUUCGGGGUGAGUGGCAGACGGGUGAGUAACGCGUGGGAACGUGCCCUUCAGUUCGGGAUAACCCAGGGAAACUUGGGCUAAUACCGGAUACGUGCGAGAGCAGAAAGAUUUAUCGCUGAAGGAUCGGCCCGCGUCUGAUUAGCUGGUUGGUGGGGUAAUGGCCCACCAAGGCGACGAUCAGUAGCUGGUCUGAGAGGAUAAUCAGCCACAUUGGGACUGAGACACGGCCCAAACUCCUACGGGAGACAGCAGUGGGGAAUAUUGGACAAUGGGCGCAAGCCUGAUCCAGCCAUGCCGCGUGAGUGAUGAAGGCCUUAGGGUUGUAAAGCUCUUUCGUCCGGGACGAUAAUGACGGUACCGGAAGAAGAAGCCCCGACUAACUUCGUGCCAGCCGCCGCCGUAA
rnacentral:rRNA from 1 species